rnacentral:lncRNA from 1 species
GUGGCCGACGUGGAGGACAGCGAAGAACCCUGCGUCCUUUCUUCGCACUCCGGGAGCACAAGCUCCAAGUCGGGAGGCGACAAGAUGUUCUCCCUCAAGAAGUGGAACGAGGUAGCCAUGUGGAGCUGGGACGUUGAGUGAGAUACCUGUGCCAUCUGCAGGGUCCAGGUGAUGGAUGCCUGUCUUCGAUGUCAAGCUGAAAACAAGCAAGAGGACUGUGUUGUGGUCUGGGGAGAGUGUAACCAUUCCUUCUACAACUGCUGCACGUCCCUGUGGGUGAAACAGAAAAAUCGCUGCCCUCUGUGCCAGCAAGACUGGGUAGUCCAAAGAAUCGGCAAAUGA